rnacentral:rRNA from 1 species
UACGAACCGUACAAGCGUUAUUCGGAAUCACUGGGCUUAAAGGGUGCGUAGGCGGCCAUGUAAGUGAGGUGUGAAAUCCCUCGGCUCAACCGAGGAACUGCGCUUCAUACUGCAUGGCUUGAGGGAGACAGGGGUAAGCGGAACUGAUGGUGGAGCGGUGAAAUGCGUUGAUAUCAUCAGGAACACCGGUGGCGAAAGCGGCUUACUGGGUCUCUUCUGACGCUGAGGUACGAAAGCUAGGGGAGCGAACGGG